UUCCAAAGGGCAUGCCUGUUCGAGCGUCAUUUGUACCCUCAAGCUUUGCUUGGUGUUGGGCGUCUUUUGUCUUUGGCCUCGCCCAAAGACUCGCCUUAAAACGAUUGGCAGCCGGCCUACUGGUUUCGCAGCGCAGCACAUUUUUGCGCUUGCAAUCAGCAAAAAGGACGGCAAUCCAUCAAGACUACAUUUUUACGUUUGACCUCGGAUCAG
rnacentral:misc_RNA from 2 species